CCAGUAGUCAUAUGCUUGUCUCAAAGAUUAAGCCAUGCAUGUCUCAGUACAAGCCAAAUUAAGGUGAAAGCCGCGAAAGGCUCAUUAAAUCAGUUAUGGUUCCUUAGAUCGUACCCACAUUUACUUGGAUAACUGUGGUAAUUCUAGAGCUAAUACAUGCAAACAGAGCUCCGACCGGAGACGGAAGGAGCGCUUUUAUUAGAUCAAAACCAAUCGGUGGCGGGCCUCGCCCGUCACCGUACACCUUGGUGACUCUGAAUAACUUAUUGCUGAUCGCACGGUCUCGCACCGGCGACGCAUCUUUCAAAUGUCUGCCUUAUCAACUGUCGAUGGUAGGUUCUGCGCCUACCAUGGUUGUAACGGGUAACGGGGAAUCAGGGUUCGAUUCCGGAGAGGGAGCCUGAGAAACGGCUACCACAUCCAAGGAAGGCAGCAGGCGCGCAAAUUACCCACUCCCGGCACGGGGAGGUAGUGACGAAAAAUAACGAUACGGGACUCAUCCGAGGCCCCGUAAUCGGAAUGAGUACACUCUAAACCCUUUAACGAGGAUCAAUUGGAGGGCAAGUCUGGUGCCAGCAGCCGCGGUAAUUCCAGCUCCAAUAGCGUAUAUUAAAGUUGUUGCGGUUAAAAAGCUCGUAGUCGAAUUUGUGUCCCGCGCCGCCGGUUCAUCGCUCGCGGUGUCAACUGGCGUGUCCGCGGGACGUCCUGCCGGUGGGCUUAGCCUCCCGUGGGGGGCGGCCCAAUCUCAAUCCCACCGCGGUGCUCUUCACUGAGUGUCGAGGUGGGCCGGCACGUUUACUUUGAACAAAUUAGAGUGCUUAAAGCAGGCUAAAACAUCGCCUGAAUACUGUGUGCAUGGAAUAAUGGAAUAGGACCUCGGUUCUAUUUUGUUGGUUUUCCGGAACCCCGAGGUAUUGAUUAAUAGGAACGGAUGGGGGCAUUCGUAUUGCGACGU
rnacentral:rRNA from 1 species